CCUGGCUCAGGAUGAACGCUAGCUACAGGCUUAACACAUGCAAGUCGAGGGGCAGCAUGGUCUUAGCUUGCUAAGGCCGAUGGCGACCGGCGCACGGGUGAGUAACACGUAUCCAACCUGCCGUCUACUCUUGGACAGCCUUCUGAAAGGAAGAUUAAUACAAGAUGGCAUCAUGAGUCCGCAUGUUCACAUGAUUAAAGGUAUUCCGGUAGACGAUGGGGAUGCGUUCCAUUAGAUAGUAGGCGGGGUAACGGCCCACCUAGUCUUCGAUGGAUAGGGGUUCUGAGAGGAAGGUCCCCCACAUUGGAACUGAGACACGGUCCAAACUCCUACGGGAGGCAGCAGUGAGGAAUAUUGGUCAAUGGGCGAGAGCCUGAACCAGCCAAGUAGCGUGAAGGAUGACUGCCCUAUGGGUUGUAAACUUCUUUUAUAAAGGAAUAAAGUCGGGUAUGGAUACCCGUUUGCAUGUACUUUAUGAAUAAGGAUCGGCUAACUCCGUGCCAGCAGCCGCGGUAAUACGGAGGAUCCGAGCGUUAUCCGGAUUUAUUGGGUUUAAAGGGAGCGUAGAUGGAUGUUUAAGUCAGUUGUGAAAGUUUGCGGCUCAACCGUAAAAUUGCAGUUGAUACUGGAUAUCUUGAGUGCAGUUGAGGCAGGCGGAAUUCGUGGUGUAGCGGUGAAAUGCUUAGAUAUCACGAAGAACUCCGAUUGCGAAGGCAGCCUGCUAAGCUGCACUGACAUUGAGGCUCGAAAGUGUGGGUAUCAAACAGGAUUAGAUACCCUGGUAGUCCACACGGUAAACGAUGAAUACUCGCUGUUUGCGAUAUACUGCAAGCGGCCAAGCGAAAGCGUUAAGUAUUCCACCUGGGGAGUACGCCGGCAACGGUGAAACUCAAAGGAAUUGACGGGGGCCCGCACAAGCGGAGGAACAUGUGGUUUAAUUCGAUGAUACGCGAGGAACCUUACCCGGGCUUAAAUUGCAGAUGAAUUACGGUGAAAGCCGUAAGCCGCAAGGCAUCUGUGAAGGUGCUGCAUGGUUGUCGUCAGCUCGUGCCGUGAGGUGUCGGCUUAAGUGCCAUAACGAGCGCAACCCUUGUUGUCAGUUACUAACAGGUUCCGCUGAGGACUCUGACAAGACUGCCAUCGUAAGAUGUGAGGAAGGUGGGGAUGACGUCAAAUCAGCACGGCCCUUACGUCCGGGGCUACACACGUGUUACAAUGGGGGGUACAGAGGGCCGCUACCACGCGAGUGGAUGCCAAUCCCCAAAACCUCUCUCAGUUCGGACUGGAGUCUGCAACCCGACUCCACGAAGCUGGAUUCGCUAGUAAUCGCGCAUCAGCCACGGCGCGGUGAAUACGUUCCCGGGCCUUGUACACACCGCCC
rnacentral:rRNA from 1 species